rnacentral:rRNA from 1 species
AUUGAACGCUGGCGGCAUGCCUUACACAUGCAAGUCGAACGGCAGCGCGGGAGCAAUCCUGGCGGCGAGUGGCGAACGGGUGAGUAAUAUAUCGGAACGUGCCCAGUAGUGGGGGAUAGCCCGGCGAAAGCCGGAUUAAUACCGCAUACGACCUGAGGGUGAAAGCGGGGGAGUCGCAAGACCUCGCGCUAUUGGAGCGGCCGAUAUCAGAUUAGCUAGUUGGUGGGGUAAAGGCCUACCAAGGCAACGAUCUGUAGUUGGUCUGAGAGGACGACCAGCCACACUGGGACUGAGACACGGCCCAGACUCCUACGGGAGGCAGCAGUGGGGAAUUUUGGACAAUGGGCGCAAGCCUGAUCCAGCAAUGCCGCGUGCAGGAAGAAGGCCU